rnacentral:piRNA from 1 species
UGUGACUCCCUCUGUGCUGCUAUUGUGAGAU